rnacentral:misc_RNA from 1 species
AACGCACCUUGCGCCUCUUGGUAUUCCGAGAGGCAUGCCUGUUUGAGUGUCAUUUAAUUCUCAACCUCAAAAGCUUUUUUGUUUCUGAGGCUUGGAUGUGGAGGCUUUUUUUGCUGGCUUGCUUUUUAGAGUCAGCUCCUCUCAAAUGCAUUAGUGGAAACCUGUUUGUAGUCCGCGUUGGUGUGAUAAUUAUCUGCGCCAUUGUAUUCGUGGCUACAGCUCUUGUGGUGUUCGUUUGGAAAGCUGCAUGAACUUGCUCUUUCUGUUCUGAUUGACCUGCGAGAGAGUAUAUGGUAUUCGCUUCAAACUGUCCUAAGUCGGUGGACAACCUUUGACUAUUUUGACCUCAAAUCAGGUAGGACUACCCGCUGAACUUAA